GUACAGUGCUUUAUGUUUUAAUUCUAUGUAAAGCUUGAAUGUAUGUUCUUCAGAUUUCAGAAGACCAGACAGGUGGAAAGCAAGAAGCCUUAGAAAGAAUCCAACCGGUCAAAAAAGCAAACAGACCCCAAAUGAAAAACUGUAGGCACUUUGCUUAUACAUCAAACCAUCUGCUGUGCAGGCUGUAUUUUCAGCUUGAAGCUACUUCCAGCCCUAAAUUCAAGAACAUUAAGUCACCAGCUGCUGUGACAGCCCUGAGCCAUCCACUGAACUUCUUCAGCCUCUUCUUGGGAUGCAGCGAUUAGCACCUGGCAGCUUGGACAACUAUUGCAAGGCAAGAUGAAGAGCCAUAGGGCAAGAGGCUGAGGAAUGGCAGCCACCCUAAAGGAGGAUGAGGAAAAACUGGACUGGGGUGAAGAGCAACUGUUCUGCAGCUCGAGGAAGACCCUGGAGUGGGGCCUGUUAACCCAUGGUUAUACCAAGAGACAGAGUGGUGGAUUUCCAGCACUGCAGACAUCAAAGACAGGACAGGUGCUACAGUGUUGUUGGGGCUCAUCAGGUGCAAGUUGUUGUCAUAUACUACUGCCCUAAUCA
rnacentral:lncRNA from 1 species